CCUACGGGUGGCUGCAGUGAGGAAUAUUGGUCAAUGGGCGAAAGCCUGAACCAGCCAAGUCGCGUGAGGGAUGAAGGUUCUAUGGAUUGUAAACCUCUUUUAUAAGGGAAUAAAGUGCGGCACGUGUCCCCUUUUGCAUGUACCUUAUGAUUAAGGAUCGGCUAACUCCGUGCCAGCAGCCGCGGUAAUACGGAGGAUCCGAGCGUUAUCCGGAUUUAUUGGGUUUAAAGGGUGCGUAGGUGGGAUUUUAAGUCAGCGGUGAAAGUUUGUGGCUCAACCGUAGAAUUGCCGUUGAAACUGGGAGGCUUGAGUAUGGUUGAGGUAGGCGGAAUGCGUGGUGUAGCGGGGAAAUGCUUAGAUAUCACGCAGAACCCCGAUUGCGAAGGCAGCCUGCCAAGCCGUGACUGACGCUGAUGCACGAAAGCGUGGGGAUCAAACAGGAUUAGAUACCCGAGUAGUC
rnacentral:rRNA from 1 species